rfam:Schistosoma margrebowiei strain Zambia genome assembly, scaffold: SMRZ_contig0000506
GUCCAGCUGACGAGUCCCAAAUAGGACGAGACGCGCGCCCUGGAU